rnacentral:lncRNA from 1 species
AGAGUUUGCUAUGGGUGGGAUGAUAUUGGUCAUUUGGCUAAGGAUUGUCCCCGCUAUAUUUUUAGACCUACUCUUAUACAACAGUGAGAGGUGACCUUUAAAGAGGUAGAGUUAAUACUAGAGGUUCGUGAGGAAUAGGUAGUGGUUCUCAUGGUGGUGGUCCUGGGGCUACUCAGUCCAAUGGUAGACGUGGUAGUGCUAUG